CACACCCCCUGGGCUUAGAAUCAUCACAUAACCAUAGCCACUCCCCCAGUUCCUCCCAAUAACCACGCCCCCUCCUGUUUCUGCUACUGGAUACAAUGUAUACACUGACAGCUUAUUAUGUGACCAUGUUUUUAUUGGUGGAUACUGUAUCUAUAAUGUUGUUUAUGGAAUUUCUUUUGUGACGGAUUAUUAAUAAAGAUU